GGUACCAAUGUGAUAGUAUCGCUGUCAUCCAUACUGCAUGAUGACAAAGAAUUUCCUAAUCCAGAGAAGUUUGACCCUGGUCACUUUCUAGAUGAGAGAGGAAAGAGGAUAUGUGCAGGAGAAGCCCUGGCUCGCACGGAGCUGUUUUUGUUCUUCACCACCAUUUUACAGAAUUUUAACCUGAAGUCUCUGGUUGAUGUAAAAGACAUUGACACAACACCAGCUAUCAGUGGAUUUGGCCAUUUGCCCCCUUU
rnacentral:lncRNA from 1 species